rnacentral:rRNA from 1 species
AACCCUCGCUGUGUGUUACAAGUGUCACACGGUACUGCCGGUCUUAAGCCGGAGGAAGGUGGGGAGUGACGUCAAGUCAGCAUGGCCUUUAUGUCCUGGGCUACACACACGCUACAAUGGCCAACACAAUAGGUUGCUAAGCCGCGAGGUGGAGCCAAUCCUCAAAGUUGGUCUCAGUUCAGAUUGCAGGCUGCAACCCGCCUGCAUGAAGAUGGAGUUGCUAGUAACCGCAGGUCAGCUAUACUGCGGUGAAUACGUUCCCGGGGCUU